rnacentral:lncRNA from 1 species
ACGGCAGGUGAGGCUGGACAAGGGAUAGGUGUCCCGUGGCCCCAGCCCACACUACCUGUGGUGGUGAUGAAGGCGUAGGACUUGGAGGUCUGCCCCGCCCGCACCCCGUGGACCUCCACGUGGUAGGUGGUGCCGGGCCUGAGGUCGGGCAGGCUGACGGUGCGCGUGGUGCCCGGCACAGUCAGCUCACCGCCGGGGCCCUCUGCAGGCGGCUGAGGCCGCCAGCGCAGCACCACGCGCUCGAACUGGCCGCGGAGCCCGUCGAGAGACACGAGAAGCGCGCCAUCGGCGGAACUGCCCAGCACCUCUGGCUUGGGGUGGCGGGACGCAGCCACCCGGUCGACGCCUUCAGGCGAGAGGCCGUAGAUUCCCUGGACUCCAGGCAUCUGAGGGCUCUGUCUCCCCAGUGGCCUCAGGACAGAGCAAGGCCCCCAGCAGGUGCCUCGAGACUGCCACACACCUGCCAGAAGCAUUCAGAGGAGUCUGUGAGCCCUGAGCCUGGGCUCCUGAGGAGGAGGAUCCAAGGCUGGGAAACCAGGGCCCUUCCCUAACCUCUGGCCAGCCAUACCUGUGUUGGCCCUGACAGAAGCUGGGUAGCUGACUGCCCGGCCCCGCU